rnacentral:tRNA from 1 species
GGAGCAGAGAGCUCAGUGGUGGAGCGCGUGCUUAGCAGGCACGAGGUCCUGGGUUCAACCCCCAGCACCUCCU